GCGCCGUUAGCUCAAUUGGCAGAGCAGGUGGCUCUUAACCACAAGGUUAUAGGUUCGAUUCCUAUACGGCGCACAA
rnacentral:tRNA from 1 species